AUAAUCAAUAGAACUAAGAAAGCAUGCGGCUGUAUUUCUGUGAUCAUUUAUCUUUUCCAGAUGCAUUCCGCUCCCAUUACUUCCGGGUUCAUUGAAGGGUCACGAGGAUAAUGACGUUAACGUCAAAAGUCAUUCUGACUUUUACCGUAACAAACCGUGUGAGCGGAGCUAAUUUUAGCUGAGAGCUAACCUCCGCUGUUUUGACUGAAGCUGCUCCCGGCCUGCAGCUCCCAUCCCCGAUGAAGAAGCUUUAUUAACUCUCCCGCCGCUGCUCCGUGGACAAAAACCCGAGAAAACACGAAGGACGGCGCUCCAACUGCCGCCAUUGUACCGGAGAGAAGCACGAGUCUGCGCACUGGGGUCAGAGGCUGGACCCGCCAAUCACGGAAUAGAACACCAGGAAGUCCCGCCCACAUUAAGUUUUGCCAUACGUUUCGUUGCUGCCAUGUUCUGAGUGGCAUUUUCUUCACAAUAGAAGCUGAAUUUGUAGCACAUUUCUUUGCAAGCUGUUUAUUCCGCGAUGAAUUUGCAACACAGAACUCUUCUCUUUCAUAUAAGUAUAUUUUUUAAUAUAUCGAAUAAUUAAAUUAACUUUAAUGUGAUGAAAUAAGCAAAAAGUUUUACAUAUACCCAGUAAAAGUUAAACAUUUCCAAACCUCCACUGACACAAAAGGUGAAUUUUAGAUUUCAUUUAGACUAAUUUUUUCCAGCCAACUGAGUGUUUUAAAAAAAGAACUUCAACUGUAUCCUUUAAAUUAAAUCCAAAUGCUUCAACUAUUACAGUGAAAGUUGCACAAUAACAUAAAACUGAGAAAGUAUAUAUUUCAUAAUUAAAUCAUGUCACCAAAUUGAUACGAAAUAUUUUGGUUUUCUAUUGAAGGAUGAAUAAUUAUCCAUUCAGCAAGUUCCUUGUUCUUUUUAGUGUAACUUGUUUAUAUCAUAUAAAACAUUUUAGC